rnacentral:lncRNA from 1 species
UAUAUAUAUAUAUAAUAUAUAUAUUUGGAAUAAUUAUUUAUAUGCCUUUUAAAAUUUUAAAAAUAUCUUAUUAAUUUUUACUUUCUUUUCUUUUCAAUAUACUUAUUAUAUAUGUUCAUUCGUUAUUUCAAAAUAUUCUUUGAGUUAAACACGAGUUAAAUAUUAAAUAUCUAUCAUAGUUAAAAAAAAUUAAAAUGUCAUUUUUAUUCUUAACUUCAGGGCAAAUAAAAAAUAUUGUUGAUGUAGAAAGAUAUAUUUGAAAAGAUGAAAAAGUAAAAUAUUUUUUGUGUCCCUAACUUAAGAACAAAUAAAAAAGUCAGUGCUGAUAAAAGAAUAUAUUUAAAAGAGUAAAACAGUAAUUUCAUAAAAAUAACAAACUUCAUUAACAAUUUUAAUUUAUUAGGAGUAUAUUUAAAAUAUAUUGGAACGUAAAAAAAAUAUUUUUAAUAUUAGUAUUUUAAAAAAUAAAUUAAAAGUUGAAAAUUUUUUAAGAGUACCUAAGCAAU